UACAGAGGGUGCGAGCGUUAGUCGGAAUUACUGGGCGUAAAGCGCGCGUAGGCGGCUUUGCAAGUCGAGUGUGAAAUCCCCAGGCUUAACCUGGGAACUGCAUUCGAGACUGCAUAGCUAGAGUAUGGGAGAGGGAAGUGGAAUUUCAGGUGUAGCGGUGAAAUGCGUAGAUAUCUGAAGGAACAUCAGUGGCGAAAGCGACUUCCUGGACCAAUACUGACGCUCAUGUGCGAAAGCGUGGGGAGCAAACAGG
rnacentral:rRNA from 1 species